rnacentral:rRNA from 1 species
CAGGGAACUGAAACAUCUAAGUACCUGGAGGAAGAGAAAGAAAAAUCGAUUUCCUGAGUAGCGGCGAGCGAAACGGAAAGAGCCCAAACCAAGAAGCUUGCUUCUUGGGGUUGUAGGACACUCUAUACGGAGUUACAAAAGAAAGUUAUAAAUGAAGCGGUCUGGAAAGGCCCGCCAAAGACGGUAACAGCCCGGUAGUUGAAAUAGCUUUCCCUCCAGAGUGGAUCCUGAGUACGGCGGAACACGUGAAAUUCCGUCGGAAUCCGGGAGGACCAUCUCCCAAGGCUAAAUACUCCCUAGUGACCGAUAG